rnacentral:rRNA from 1 species
GAUGAACGCUGGCGGCGUGCCUAAUACAUGCAAGUCGAGCGAACGGACGAGAAGCUUGCUUCUCUGAUGUUAGCGGCGGACGGGUGAGUAACACGUGGAUAACCUACCUAUAAGACUGGGAUAACUUCGGGAAACCGGAGCUAAUACCGGAUAAUAUUUUGAACCGCAUGGUUCAAAAGUGAAAGACGGUCUUGCUGUCACUUAUAGAUGGAUCCGCGCUGCAUUAGCUAGUUGGUAAGGUAACGGCUUACCAAGGCAACGAUGCAUAGCCGACCUGAGAGGGUGAUCGGCCACACGGGAACUGCGACACGGUCCAGACUCCUACGGGAGGCAGCAGUAGGGAAUCUUACGCAUUGGGCGAAAGCCUGACGGAGCAAGGCCGCGUGAGUGAUGAAGGUCUUCGGAUCGUAAAACUCUGUUAUUGGGGAAGAACAUAUGUGUAAGUAACUGUGCACAUCGUGACGGUACCUAAUCAGAAAGCCACGGCUAACUACGUG